rnacentral:rRNA from 1 species
UAGUCCACGCCGUAAACGAUGGAUACUAGGUGUUCGGAGUAGUUAACCCUCUGAGUACCGUAGCACACGCAUUAAGUAUCCCGCCUGGGGAGUACGGUCGCAAGGCUAAAACUCAAAGGAAUUGACGGGGGCCCGCACAAGCGGUGGAGUAUGUGGUUUAAUUCGACGCAACGCGAAGAACCUUACCUGGACUUAACAUUUAGUGACAACUUCAGAGAUGAAGCUUUCUCUUCGGAGACACUAGGAUAGGUGCUGCAUGGCUGUCGUCAGCUCGUGUCGUAAGAUGUUGGGUUAAGUCCCGCAACGAGCGCAACCCUUGUCCUUAGUUGCCAGCAUUAAGUUGGGCACUCUAGGGAGACUGCCGGUGUCAAACCGGAGGAAGGUAAGGAUGACGUCAAGUCAGCAUGCCCCUUACGCUCUGGGCUACACACGUGCUACAAUGGUCGUGACAAAGAGUUGCUAGUCUGCGAAGGCAAGCCAAUCUCAUAAACGCGGCCUUAGUUCGGAUUGCAGG